rnacentral:rRNA from 1 species
UACGUAGGGUGCAAGCGUUGUCCGGAAUUAUUGGGCGUAAAGAGCUCGUAGGCGGUUCGUCGCGUCGGCUGUGAAAACCCGGAGCUCAACUCCGGGCCUGCAGUCGAUACGGGCGGACUUGAGUGUUGCAGGGGAGACUGGAAUUCCUGGUGUAGCGGUGAAAUGCGCAGAUAUCAGGAGGAACACCGGUGGCGAAGGCAGUUCUCUGGGCCGUAACUGACGCUGAGGAGCGAAAGCGUGGGGAGCGAACAGG